rnacentral:rRNA from 1 species
UACAGAGGGGGCAAGCGUUGUUCGGAAUUACUGGGCGUAAAGGGCGCGUAGGCGGCCCGCUAAGUCGAACGUGAAAUCCCCCGAGCUCAACUCGGGAACUGCGUCCGAUACUGGCGGGCUUGAAUCCGGGAGAGGGAUGCGGAAUUCCAGGUGUAGCGGUGAAAUGCGUAGAUAUCUGGAGGAACACCGGUGGCGAAGGCGGCAUCCUGGACCGGCAUUGACGCUGAGGCGCGAAAGCUAGGGGGAGCAAACGGG